ACAUAGCCUGAUAGAGGUUACG
rnacentral:miRNA from 1 species